rfam:Choloepus hoffmanni cont1.506302, whole genome shotgun sequence.
CCGAGCACAUGGGCCCGCGGGCCAGGCGGGCUCGGGGCUGCCUGGACGAGGAAGACUGGCCAGGAGCCGGAGGAACACGGUGGUCCCCGGCACCCCUCGGCCAACCCCGAGUGGAUUUGCAAACGGAAAGUAUGUCCGCGGCCCCGGUGACCUUUGGAGACACGGCUGGAUCCACCCUCCA